rnacentral:rRNA from 1 species
AUAUUGCACAAUGGAGGGAACUCUGAUGCAGCAACGCCGCGUGAGUGAAGACGGCUUNNNGAUCGNAAAACUCUGUCUUUGGGNAGANCUAAAUGACGGUACCCACUGAGGAACCCCCGGCUAACUACGUGCCAGCAGCCGCGGUAAUACGUAGGGGGCGAGCGUUGUCCGGAAUUACUGGGCGUAACGGGUACGUAGGCGGCUAUAUAAGUCAGGUGUGAAAUACCAGUGCUUAACACCGGAAUUGCAUUUGAAACUGUGUAGCUUGAGUGCAGGAGAGGAAAGUGGAAUUCCUAGUGUAGCGGUGAAAUGCGUAGAGAUUAGGAGGAACACCAGUGGCGAAGGCGACUUUCUGGACUGUAACUGACGCUGAGGUACGAAAGCGUGGGUAGCGAACA